rnacentral:rRNA from 1 species
UACGUAGGUGGCAAGCGUUGUCCGGAUUUACUGGGCGUAAAGGAUGCGUAGGCGGACAUUUAAGUCAGAUGUGAAAUACCCGAGCUUAACUUGGGUGCUGCAUUUGAAACUGGGUGUCUAGAGUGCAGGAGAGGUAAGUGGAAUUCCUAGUGUAGCGGUGAAAUGCGUAGAGAUUAGGAAGAACACCAGUGGCGAAGGCGACUUACUGGACUGUAACUGACGCUGAGGCGCGAAAGCGUGGGGAGCAAACAGG